GGAGAAGAUCAACGACAAGCUUCGGGUUUUGCAGAAGCUGGUGCCCAACGGAACCAAAGUGGAUCUCAGCACUACGCUCGAGGAGGCAGUCCUCUACGUCAAGUUUUUGAAGCUACAGAUCAAGGUUGUGAUGACCUAUCCGGACUGGGCCGUAGAGCCGAGCCACUCAGGAGUAGCAGGGCUGCGCGUGGAAAAGGUAUCAUCGCUUCAACACAUCUGCUCACAAUGUGUGCGUUCCUCUGUUGAUGAUAUGUAUAUAAUCGACAAGAAUUCGUUGCCACUGUGUUGUAUGUAUUCCUUUGUCCAGAUGAUUGGGCAGUGGGAGUUGUGCAUAGUAGCAUACAAUAUUUUUCCUUUUCCUAAUCCAUCGCAAGGAGCUUCAUAUUAAGUUUGUUGUUAGCUUCCCCAGGAAAAAAAGUUUGUUGUUAGCUGUAGCCUGCUUCAAGUGUGUACAGAUUCAUGUAUCAAGUUUCUUCAGAUGUUCACAGACUACUGGAUGUAGAUUUCUUACCAAGUGAUCAUCUUGGUAAGCUACCAACAAAAAUUGCAAUC